UGUAUUUAUAGAUUACCACUAAAAGUAAUGACAUUUAAUUCAAAGUACCAUCAAUGUCAUAGAAUUGUCAACAGGGACACCAGCAGAAGGCCGCCUCCUCCAUAUCCCACUUUCCUAUCUUAAAUUUUCCUAUCUUCAAAUGCAUAUCCAAUGAUUCUAGGCCCCUUCUAUAUGGGGUGAAGCACUGCUUGAAUUGGCAAGGGGAAAAGGAGGAAUAAUUGGAAAUUAGGUUGUAGCUUUGUGAAGGGAGUACCAUUUGUGAACAUCAGAAUUGUCCCAGAUAUUAAAUUGAACUGGAAAGCAAUCAUUUCCCAUGUGUGCUGCAAAUUUAUUGGGUAACUGAGUGGAUGAGGAAAUAUAGUGAGAAGACUUCAAGAGUUGUGUAUACAGUGUUCCCUUAUCACAGGGGCUAUGUUCUAGGACCACCCGUGAUAAGUGAAAAUCCGCAAAGUAGGGACGCUAUUAUUAUUUUAAUAUUUCAUAUUUAUUUCUUUACUCCAUUGCUGCUUCUCCUCAGGGAUGCCAACUGAAAGGAAGGUUUUCAGGUGAAUAAAGGAAGAAAAUGAGCAUCUGUUCUUGACUGAGAUGUAUCAACCUUAGUUAGUUUCUUGUCCGUACUAACUGAAAGAUCAUACACAGGAGUUUAGGGUUCUAAAUAGCUCAUUGAUGGUUCUCAGGAUGGUGCCUUUAUUAAACUAGGAAGAAAUUCAUCUUGCCAGCUUUGCCUAGAUUAUCUUAUAGAGGAGGAUGGUGCAUACUCUCUGUGUCACUACAUCUCCACCAGAUGCCCAUAUGUAGGAGACUCAGUGUGCAUGCUUAUUGUAUUCCAAAGUAGAAACAAAAAUGAUAGAUAUCAAUUUGCAAUUAGGUUUAAAAUAUUUUAUAAAGUUAAAAUAUGAAGUUUCAGCUGCAAUUACCACAUCUCUUACAAUACUCAUAAAAUGUAUUAAACGACUGGGCUUAUAAACCACAUUAAACAAUUAACUUGCAAUCAUAUUCUGUACUUAAUAUUCAAUUAAACUCCAAUUUUAAUUUCUGGCAUUUUAAAAUUAUUUAUUCUAGCCACAGAAUAUAUUAUGUUUAAAAGUUAAAAAUUGUGCAUAGGUUUUCUAAAAAAAACUUUAAGAAAUUUGAUUUCAUUCAUAGAUUUUAAAAAAGAAAUUGCUUAAUGUUUUUGGUCAUGUUUCAGCAUAGGAAAAGUGUCUUAUGUUGUUUUGUGUCAUUGCCCAGCACACUGGGUGGGGGAUAGUGGGCUUUAACAACUGAGAAUGGUAUGUUCAUUACUAGAAUGGAAAUACAUAAGAAAAUGAAUGCCUGCUAUCUUGUUGUAAUGAUCUAUAUAAAAAUGCAAAACAAAACAGGAAAAUGAAAUGCAGUUUUUAGUUUAAUCAAGUUUCACAAGUCUUUUGGGAAGUCUGGAAUUAUCUGAAACAGAGCCCAGGGGACUUGCUAGGUUUAGGUACGGCUUUUGCAGUCUGUUCAGUAGGAAAUAGAAUGCUACAUUUGUUUUAAAAAUGAUGGCUAGCAAGUGACAUCUGUGUUUAAUUUUAAUAAUAGAAAGCAGGGAGCUACCAAAGGGAGGAAAAGACAUUGGGGCAGCUGUCAAGUUAUGUGAUCAGUUAGCCUUGUGUUCAGUGGCAGAUGGUGUCUGGCACAUCAUUGGAACAUUGAAUCUGCUUUUGGCAUUUCAAGGUGCUGUGCAAGGGCUGAACCUAUUUGAGGGAUAUAGUUAAGCACAUAGAACAGCUCCUUUAAAGUGUAGACUAAAAUGUGGAGCAGAGCUCCAUUGAUGUAGGAGCCACUGUUGCCUCUCUGAACUCUUAGAUGGGGGUUUUAAAAGCUGCAUAAAUAUCCAGUGUUUAAAAUGUUUUCAUAUUUUUUAUAAUUUCACAUAUAAGCAAGGUUACAUAUUUUUUUUCAACAUUACUGGCAUAUUGUGCAAAUUCCAAGGAAGGUCCUACUUUGUAGUCCAUAUGCUCAAAGACCAAUAUUAGUAUGAAACCAUUUCUGGCCAACUACGAGGAGUGCUGUGAAGCCCUCUUGGCAAAGAAUGGACAAGUAUUUGCACAGUCUUUGAAGCAAUGUAUACUUAAAACCUCUUCUGAAAGUAAGUGUUGGAUAUUGAUAAUCAUCAAAUGAUUAAGGGUUUGUGGUACAUCCUGUUGCCCACACAUAGUAUUGGAAGUGACUGCAAUUUUGUAAUUGUGUUUUAUUGACUUUAUGAUGAUUUAUUUUAUGAUUGAUUGUUUAUAUUGCCCAUUUGCUUUGUUUACUUUCAUGUUGUUAGCCGCCCCGAGUCCCCACGGUGAGAGAGGGUGAGAUACAAAUAAAAUUUUGAUCAAUUGAAUUUUAUCUAGCCCAGUGGUUCUCAAUCUGGGUUCCCAGAUGUUUUUGGCCAACAACUUCCAGAAAUCCUAGCCAGUUUACCAGCUGUUAGGAUUUCUGAGAGUUGAAGACCAAAAAUAUCUGGGGACCCCAGGUUGAGAACCACUUAUCUAGCCCAUGCAGGUAUACACUUUAAAAGUAUUCCUGAAAGAUAGCCAUUCCAACCUCUGUUUGAAAACCUCCAAAGAAAGGGAACCAGCUCUUAUAGUCAAGAAGUUUUUCCCAAGCUUUGGUACGAGAAUCUCUUUUUUUGUAAUUUGAAUUAAUUGGUUGUGUUACCAUUUCUGAAGCAGCAGAAAACAAGUCCACUCCUCUUCUACAUAUAUUUUGAGAUAGCUUUCAUAUCACAUCUCAAUAUUCUCUUCCCCAACUUAAAAGCAUCCAGUUUCCUUAGAUGUUCCUCACAUAGGUGGAUUUCCAAUCCGUUGAUCAUGGUCACCCUUCUCUGAAUAUUUUUCAGCUAUUUAGGUUAUUUGAAAGUCUAUUGCAUUUAUGUAAGAUGCUGAAACUAUAGCAAAUGUUUUACAUGAACGUCUGUUCUGAGGUUAUUGAAAGCAAGAAAUAUGUUUAGUAUAGUGACACGCACUCUGUGGGAAAAAUCUUUUCCUUGUUACACAUCUCUGACAAUUUCUACACUUAGUCAUGUGUUACUCUGGUAUAAUUCAACCUAUUUAAAGAAGGGCAACUGUGUUUUAUACUAUACAUUUUAUGGUUUCUGUAUACUACUUUGAAACUUGUAUGUAUUUCAUGUAUGUGAUGAUAGAUUAGUAUUUUUUUUCUUUGCAAAGAAGCCACAUAUGCUUUUUUCAAAGAAUGAGUCCAGAACUCUAAAUAAUCCUUUAAAAUGUGUGUUUCUGAGGAUUUUGUGCAACAGAGAACAUGACAUCAAUACUCCUUCUUGUUGACAAGAUUGAAAUUUACAAGGGCUUAUAUUUUUGGUGUGUGGUCUCACACCAGGAAAUAAAAGUAAAAUUUAAUCAUAGCUUACAUUUCUAGUAAGUGACUCAGAAGCUAUAGUAUGUUGGUUUUCAUUUAUUUAUGUGGUGUUUGAUUGAGAUAAAACUGUGUUGAUAUCCAAGUUAUAUUCCUCUUGAUGCUAAUUACAAAAGUUCAUUGGCUUGCUUUUUUAUUUUUUCUCUCUCUUGAUGUCUUUUUAAUGAGGCCUAACCAGCAAGCAUUAUAUUUUCUUGGAGUUCUGUCUGCCGCCUUCAAAUGUUUAUUACUAAUCCAUGUGGGAAUUGAUUUAUAAAUUAAAUAUUAGGAGAAUUUACUUUUACAAAGGAGAAGGAAUUGUAGAGGGGAGCAUCAUGUAUAAUUUUCAUUUGGUGAAGAAGAAAAAACAUACUAAUGGAAAGACAUUUAAAACUGCUCUUUAAAAAUGUUUUAUGAUUUUAUUUAAUAAAGCUUGUAAAAGUGGGGUUUUAGUGCACAUAUUUUGCCUUCUGGUUAAUUUUAAUAAAUUAUGCUUACAAAAGUGCUAAUCUCUGUUAAGAAUUCACAGAUAAAUACAGUAGAGUCUCGCUUAUCCAACAUAAACGGGCCGGCAGAACGUUGGAUAAGCGAAUAUGUUGGAUAAUAAGGAGAGAUUAAGGAAAAGCCUAUUAAACAUCAAAUUAGGUUAUGAUUUUACAAAUUAAGCACCAAAACGUCAUCUUAGACAACAAAUUUGACAGAAAAAGUAGUUCAAUAUGCAGUAAUGCUAUGUAGCAAUUACUGUAUUUAUUAAUUUAGUACCAAAAUAUCACAAUAUAUUGAAAACAUUGACUACAAAAAUGCGUUGGAUAAUCCAGAACGUUGGAUAAGCGAGUGUUGGAUAAGUGAGACUCUACUGUACUAUUAUAUUCACAGCCUACCAGCUGGGAUAAGUCACUUUGUUCCAAGUAGCAAUGUAUCCUGAAGUCACAGCAGGGAAAUGUUGGAAGAGAAAUCAAAAGUAUGUUGGCUUAACUCUUGUGUGAUACCACUGAUAGGUUUGGGCAACCUGCAUAGAGCACACAAUGAUAGGUACGAAAGCAGGCACAUUAAAACUAGCAUUUUAAUAAGAGUCUUCUUGCUAAAUUAGCAGCAGAAAUAUUGGUUGCUUAUGACUAUGUGAGCCUUUUUAAUAAAUAGUCAGAAACACACAGAUUACAAUUACUGGGUAUGCAAGUACCUGCUUACACAGCACUGAACAUUAUUUAUUUUGCUCACCUGAACAAAUAACGCUUGACAAUGUUUGAAGGUAACAGCAACACACAGCUUGCAGGUCAGCAAUGUGAAAGAUCUUCCUGUUUACAUGCAGCAAUUAAUUGCAAAUGAGAAGAAGCAGAAUGGAACAUAAUUAAAAAGAAGAAGUUUCUGAGAAAACAGUGGCAGUAUUUAUUUAUUUAUUUUUUUUAAAAAAUACAGGUUGAGCAUUCCUUAUUCAGAAUUCCCAAAUCUGCAAUCAUUCAAAAUUAUCCACAUGGGUGUUUGAGAGGGUGAUACUUUUGCUUUCUGAUGUUUAAAUCUUUGUUUUAUGCACAAAAUUAUUUCAAAAUAUUGUAUAAAAAUAAUCUUCAGUCUAUAUGCACAAGUAUAUAUGAAACAUAAAUGAAUUUGAUUUUAUAUCUCUAGGAUAUGUGUGUGUGUGUGUGUACACACACGCUCUCCGCACACACACACACACGUAAAUACAGGUAUUGCAAAAUCCAAAGCAUUUCUAGUCACAAAUUUUUCAAAUAAGGAAUACUCAACUUAUGGUAGGACUAAAUUGAAAAGAGUGUGUGUAUUUGAUCAUUAUUUUAUAUGGCCAAUGCCAUAUGUGUGAGGAAAAUGUGCAUGUCAUUUUAUUAUUAUUAUUUUUGCUGCAUGCAACUUAGUUUACUUGUAAAAGUAGAUUGAACACUGAAAGACAAAAAGAACCUGGAGGAGAUACAGUCAGAUCCAUAUCAUAAAUUCUGCAUAGAUUCUGGAA
rnacentral:lncRNA from 1 species